rnacentral:ncRNA from 1 species
UCCCUGCCUUACUAUCAAUUGUUUCUCAACUUACACAUGCAAGUCUCAGCACACCAGUGAGAACGCCCUUCUAACCUUCACCAGGCCAAGGAGCCGGCAUCAGUCACAGGGAACUCCCCUCACCCAUAACGCCUAGUCUCACCACACCCCCAAGGGCCUUCAGCAGUGAUAAAUCUUGUGUAUAAGCGACAGCUUGACUCAGUUAGAGAAAAGAGGGCCGGCUAACCCGGUGCCAGCCGCCGCGGCUACCCCGUGGGGCUCAAAUUGAUAGCCAUCGGCGUUAAGCGUGAUUAAAGUUCCAACAGAUUAAGGUCAAAUUAAUACUUAGCUGUUUAAAGCUUGCUAUUAAGAAGAACACAAACGAAAGUUACCCUAACCAACUUGAAUACACGACAGCUGGGAAACAAACUGAGAUUAGAUACCCCACUAUGCCCAGCCGUAAAAAAUUAACUUACAUCUACACGCGCCAGGGAAUUACGAGCCAUGCUUAAAACCCAAAGGAUUUGACGGUGUCCCACCCCACUAGAGGAGCCUGUUCUAUAAUCGAUGAUCCCCGCUAUACCUCACCAUUUCUUGCUCAGCAGUCUGUAUACCUCCGUCGAAAGCCUACCAUAUGAAUGCCCACAGUAGGCUUAAUGACCCACAUCAAUACGUCAGGUCAAGGUGCAGCUUACGGAAUGGAAAGUGAUGGGCUACAAUUUCUAACCUAGAACAAACGAAAGACUAUGUGAAACUCUGGUCAUGAAGGCGGAUUUAGCAGUAAAAAGAAAAUAGAGUGUUCUUUUUAACUCGGCUCUGGGACGCGUACACACCGCCCGUCACCCUCUUCAAUAGUACCCGCUCCAGUUCCUAACCCAUUUCUUACGCCCUAGAAGAGGAG